rnacentral:rRNA from 1 species
UUCUUUACUUUAAAAAUUUUAUUAUUUAAGUAGUAAAAGCUAAAAUAUAAUUUAUUAAUAAGGUUUAUUAAUUUUAUUUAUGCUUGAAACUUAAAAGGCUUGGCGGUAUUAUAUAUCCUUCCAGGGGAGCUUGCUUAUUAAUUUGAUAUUCCUCAAUUUAUACUUACUUUUUUUUGAAUAUUAAACAGUUUGUAUAUUGCUGUCGUCAGUUUAUUUUGUAAGAAUUUUUGGAAAAAACUUUAUAAUGAAUUGAUUAUAAUGUCAAGUCAAAAUGCAGCUUAUGAAAAAGGUUUAUAAAGUGAGCUACGAUUUAUAAUAUUUAAUCGGAUUAAACUAUGUAAUUAGUUUAUAAAGUUGGACUUGGUAGUAAUAAGUUUUAAAAAUAGUGUGUUUUUAUGAAUUGGGUUUUAUAAUGCG